AUACGUAGGGGGCAAGCGUUGUCCGGAAUUACUGGGCGUAAAGAGCUCGUAGGCGGCUCAGCAAGUCGGUAGUGAAAGCCCGAGGCUCAACCUCGGAACUGCGGUCGAUACUGCUGUGGCUAGAGUCCGGUAGAGGAGAGUGGAAUUCCCGGUGUAGCGGUGGAAUGCGCAGAUAUCGAGAGGAACACCAGUGGCGAAGGCGGCUCUCUGGGCCGGUACUGACGCUGAGGAGCGAAAGCGUGGGGAGCAAACAGGAUUAGAAACCCCAGUAGUCC
rnacentral:rRNA from 1 species